GUUUGACUUUUGCUCAGUGCGGGAAUCCAACCUCUGUCACAGCCUUAAAAUUCUUGUUACAAAUAAUAUCUGCACUAUUUUCUCACAUUAAAGAUCAUUUGUCGUGGCUUAAGAAACACGAUCAGACAGCAGCUCGGCAGCCUAUUACUACACUAUAGUGUUUCCGGAGACAGCCGAAUGCGGCCGAUUGCCCCCGAAGGUGUAUAUGGACGAAGUGCUGUGGAUGUUGCGCCUUCAGUGAGGAGCCACCGCGGACGGGCAGGCAGCAGGCGGAUACCACUGGCUUACCGGGAGCACUACACCGACACUGACAGACUCAAAGUCCACUGUCCCAGCAGCCGAGCGGAGGAUUUACCCGACACUCCUCACGGUGCUUUUACGGACCCUUUUUCCAACCUCGGGGAGAUUAGAGCAAGUGUUGCUGGACUGGAGGAAUUGCGAGAUUCUUUUGUAAACUGUCUGAUCUGGGGACCUCCCUGCUCUUCUUGUCUUCAACCUUCUUUUCCGAAAUGCAAACGCCCAGGAAAACCUAGAAAAUGUUUUCUAAAGCAAGAAUAGCAAGCCGUCCUGCUCUGGGUGCAAAAGAUCCAAACGCUUCAAUGCUAAAUAAGGAAGGGGAAGAAGAGUGCAUGACUUUGUGUGACACCUGGAUUUGACAGAGCCCUAAUUUGGCUGGAUGGAGAAUAGAGAAGGAGGUGAGAUGGGCAUAGUGAAGAAGUGCAACAGAUGGAGCUGGAGAUGGAGAUGAGGUGGAGUCAUGGAAAGACAGAGAGGAGGUGGAGGGAGUGUGUCGUUCAUCCACCUUGAUAAGUGGAUCAGCUGAAUGCCAGGGCUGUGAAUGUCUGAUGGAAAUACACAGUGUGUGUGUGUGUCUUCUCAUCCUAAUGAAGGCUGAAUGAGACUCAGACUUGAAUGCUGAAUGCAUCACUGCCACACACACACACGCACACACACACACACACAUACACACACGCUGCUCCUCCCUGGCAGUCAACAGUAUUUUGACAAGGCACUUUCAUUUAGAUCGACACAGCGAUAUUCACCAACAACUAUCAGUCACAGCACAACAUAUUCUGGCAUUAUAUAAAAGAGUAAGAUUACUGACAACUGUUCGUAGGACUCAUUCUUCAUAGAAAGGAGUUUGGAUGAAAACUGUUCAUGGUGCUACAACUGGGUAGUUGAUUUUUGGUCUCCUAAAUACCCUUACCUUAAUAAUAAUAAUGAUAAUAAUGACUUUUAUGACCUUUUAAACACAGGGUUUACAAAGUGAAAAAUGUAAUGUAAUUUGUGUGUGGGAAUGAUUAUUUUCAGUCAUGAUGAUGUGACAUUUGUUGAGGUUUGUACCAAACAAAAAUAUGAUUGUCUUACACAUGGAGAACAAAAUUCAAAAUACAAUACUUCAUUAUAAUGCUGUUUGUCAUAUAUUUUACCUUUACCAAACAAACUGCAGCUUCUGUGAUGUGCAUAUUGCACAUGGCCAUAUUGCUAUUUCGCUAAUAUUUCAAGUUCAGCUGUGAUGUUUUCAGUGUGUGGGUCCAAGAUCGAGCCUUAACAUCCAUCACAUCAGCAUGUACACAUAAAAUAUUAAACAUACAAAUCUGAGAUGUCAUAGUGCCAAAUAUAUCAGCCCCUACAAUGAUAGGGAUACAAUAUUAAUAAUAAUAAUAAUAAUAAUAAUAAUAAUAAUAAUAAUAAUAAUAAUAAACAAUAAUAUGAUAAAGUUUUCACCACACCAAUGAGGAUAGGGAGUUAGAAUGGUUUAUUGCUCAUAAUGCAUAAAGGUGAACCCAUAUAAUAAACUGUAGAAGGGAUAAAGGGAUGGGGGGAGAAAUCAGGUUUGUGGAUGGAUAGAUGGAUUGGUGGAGGAGUUUGGGCGAACAGAUGGGAGGGAACAGUGUGGGUGUUCUACUUGGGCUCUCAGUUAGCUCUCUCAGUUAGCUCUCAAGAACUACUUGGGCUCUCAGUUAGAGCCCAAGUAGUUCCUGUAUUUGAAUAAGAGAGAGAGAAGGGGUGAAAAAGGGGGGGUUUACUGAUCAGUUAAAUGGAGUGAAGCCUGCGAGCUAGUUCAGGCAGUCAACUCGAGCUGCGCUGUUAUACACAUGGCUCACUCCAUAACCACUAACCAAGCGCUCCCUUCCAAUCUGGCGGUCUAUUUAAACUGCACAAUUUCCCAGCUCUCCCUCUGCUCUGUCAAUGCAGCUGUUGCAUCCGUAUUGUUGCUGCUGCUCUGUAAGUUAUUGCUGCCUGCUGCACUGUAAGCCCCACCACCACCCGAACAUCCACCUGUAGGCUCUGGGCUAGGGGUUAAGGUAUUUGCUCAUCCCGCCCCAAUAUCUCUAUGAAAACAUAUCUGUGGGGGAUGAUGAGGUCGGAGCCUAGACGCCAAAAUCUAAAUAUGCUAUACUGCUGUAAUAAACAUUUCAAACGUGA